CGCGGACGCGAAGGAAAACCCCUUCCUCCUCUCCGCGCGCCGCCGCCGGAGCCGGCCCCCCCCGCGGGCCGCCAUGGUCGUGCCCGCGCUGGAAGGCCCCGCCCCCCCCGCCCUGGUGGCCGACGUGGUUUUCGUCAUCGAGGGCACCGCCAACCUCGGGCCCUACUUCGAGGCUCUGCGCAAGCACUACCUGCUGCCCGCCAUCGAGUAUUUCAAUGGGGGCCCCCCCGCGGAGACCGACUUUGGCGGAGACGUGAGUGGGAAUUAAUUUAAUUGAUUUCAUUAAUUUUAUUGGUUUUAUUUUAUUUAUUUUUAUCGUAAUUUAUUUUAUUUUCUAUUUUAUUUUAUUUAUUGAUUUAUUUUUUUAAAAUUUUAAUUUUAGUUAUUUUGUUGUCUUGUAUUACGU